rnacentral:rRNA from 1 species
UACGUAGGGUGCAAGCGUUAAUCGGAAUUACUGGGCGUAAAGCGUGCGCAGGCGGUUUUGUAAGUCUGUCGUGAAAAUCCCCGGGCUCAACCUGGGAAUUGCGAUGGAGACUGCAAGGCUAGAAUCUGGCAGAGGGGGGUAGAAUUCCACGUGUAGCAGUGAAAUGCGUAGAGAUGUGGAGGAACGACCGAUGGCGCAAGGCAGCCCCCCUGGGUCAAGAUUGACGC